AGUGAACGCUGGCGGUAGGCCUAACACAUGCAAGUCGAACGGCAGCACAGUAAGAGCUUGCUCUUACGGGUGGCGAGUGGCGGACGGGUGAGGAAUACAUCGGAAUCUACUUUUUCGUGGGGGAUAACGUAGGGAAACUUACGCUAAUACCUCAUACGACCUACGGGUGAAAGCAGGGGAUCUUCGGACCUUGCGCGAUUGAAUGAGCCGAUGUCGGAUUAGCUAGUUGGCGGGGUAAAGGCCCACCAAGGCGACGAUCCGUAGCGGGUCUGAGAGGAUGAUCGGCAAAACUGGAACUGAGAAACGGCCAAGACCCCUAGGGAGGGAGGAAGUGGGAAAUAUUGGAAAAUGGGGGCAGGCCUAAUCCAGCAAUACCGCGUGGGUGAAGAGGGCCUUCGGGUUGUAAAGCCCUUUUGUUGGGAAAAAAAAGCAGCAGGUUAAUACCGCGCUGUUCUGACGGUACCCAAAGAAUAAGCACCGGCUAACUUCGU
rnacentral:rRNA from 1 species